rnacentral:rRNA from 1 species
CCUACGGGUGGCUGCAGUGGGGAAUAUUGGACAAUGGGCGAAAGCCUGAUCCUGCCAUGCCGCGUGUGUGAAGAAGGCCUUCGGGUUGUAAAGCACUUUCAGUGGGGAAGAAAGCCUUGGGGCUAAUACCCUCGAGGAAGGACAUCACCCACAGAAGAAGCACCGGCUAACUCCGUGCCAGCAGCCGCGGUAAUACGGAGGGUGCGAGCGUUAAUCGGAAUUACUGGGCGUAAAGCGCGCGUAGGCGGUCUGAUAAGCCGGUUGUGAAAGCCCCGGGCUCAACCUGGGAACGGCAUCCGGAACUGUCAGGCUAGAGUGCAGGAGAGGAGGGUAGAAUUCCCGGUGUAGCGGUGAAAUGCGUAGAGAUCGGGAGGAAUACCAGUGGCGAAGGCGGCCUUCUGGACUGACACUGACGCUGAGGUGCGAAAGCGUGGGUAGCAAACAGGAUUAGAUACCCCGGUAGUC